rnacentral:rRNA from 1 species
UACGUAGGGUGCGAGCGUUGUCCGGAAUUAUUGGGCGUAAAGGGCUCGUAGGCGGUUUGUCGCGUCGGGAGUGAAAACACCGGGCUUAACUCGGUGCUUGCUUUCGAUACGGGGCAGACUUGAGGCAUGCAGGGGGAGAACGGAAUUCCUGGUGUAGCGGUGAAAUGCGCAGAUAUCAGGAGGAACACCGGUGGCGAAGGCGGGUCUCUGGGCAGUAACUGACGCUGAGGAGCGAAAGCGUGGGGAGCGAACAGG